AUAGUCCUUGGACAGUGUUAGUGAUGUGUAUCAACAAGUACGUGACUUAUUUGUGAGACUAUGCAUUGUAUGAUGACUAUCAUAAAUGGUCCCUAAUCGAAAGGAUUGUGUGGACGCGUAACCAUUCAGAUUAGCAUAUGACAUGGCAGAUGGUUCGGUCUCACUAACCAUGUAGCAUUGGAUGUUAGCCGAAUAAUAUGGACUUAGAAAGAUCUGGUCGAAUUCGACGUAGUCGGAUCCGAGUCGAGAUAAGGUCUGAGUUGGACAGACCCAACUAUGAGACGCGUCGACGGGUCAUUUGUGAGUCUCUCGUACAACAUACGUUCUAUGUCCUAAGACCUAAGCUGGCGCAUGUACUCGGGAUGGUGACAGACUUGCUUUGGGCCGACCAAACGCUACUCCUUGACUCGGUAGUUACAAAGAUAGGUUUCGGACUUGUCAUGACCCAUGUGGGGAUACAUGGUCGAUCAAGAUGGGAUUUGCCCCUCCGAACAACAGAUAUAUACUCUGUGCCCCUCA
rnacentral:lncRNA from 1 species